ACAAACUUGGUCAUUUAGAGGAAGUAAAAGUCGUAACAAGGUUUCCGUAGGUGAACCUGCGGAAGGAUCAUUACAGAGUGUUCUACCCCCUUGUAAAAUGGUGGGUUUAACCUCCCGUCCUUUGCCAGCCCCCCCUUUCGUUGGGGGGCCUUUCAAACCUUUCUGCUUCGGCGGGGUUACCCGUCGGAACACCCUCAAAAAUUCUUGGUCAAAACUGUUCGGUCCGAGAAACUUAUGAAAAUUGAAGCAAAACUUUCAACAACGGAUCUCUUGGUUCUGGCAUCGAUGAAGAACGCAGC
rnacentral:misc_RNA from 1 species